rnacentral:tRNA from 1 species
GCAUUGGUGGUUCAGUGGUAGACUUCUUGCCUUCCAUGCUGGAGACCCAGGUUCAAUUGCUGGCCAAUGCA